rnacentral:lncRNA from 13 species
GUGGUGCAACUCAAUAUAAGGAAGGUAUUCCUAAUGUUUUGUGCACACGGUGUAUAUCUUUACAUCAUAAAUAAUAUCAUGCAUGUUCACUUGUUUGAAUGAUGCAAGAUGAGUAAUGAUUGAUACAUUUAUGAAGGUUUUAGAUUCAUCCAAGGAGUUAAUUCAUGUUGACAACAAUGAGUCGCAGAUGUGCAGCAUGGACAAAUGAUACAAGUGAACACAAAGGGAAUACUCAGUGUCUUGGCUCAAUGUGUUCCAGGUUAUUACAGCAGGACAGGCCAGCUACUAUGUGUCCUAGCAGAGGGAUCCAUUCCUCAAAAUCAAACUGUCGAAAUAUUCUCUGCCUAAGCUGUUAAAAGACACUGUAUGUUGUGUAGAGAACAUUGGCAGCUAUAGUGUUAAAUAUUCAAUAUGCACACCAGACCUGAUCAUGUGACACCCAACACGUACUCGGCAGCAUGUUACAACCCCAACCCAUAAGCUCCAUCAUUGUGGCGGUGCAGGAGUGGAACCAGAAUGACAUAUAAAACCUGUACCUCUCCGACACCCUGACUAUUGAGAACGUCAAGACCACCCAGAUGCUGGACCUGUAUGAGGUAAGUGUUCACAGUGUGUGUGUGUGUGUGUGUUUGUGGACAUGGGAUGACACCUACCACCGACACCACCGGACUGGUAAUAUCCUUCUUAUUCCUUAUGUCAUCACAUAGGUAGCCAAGUGGUUAGAGCAUUGGAAUAGUAACCGAAAGGCUGCAAGACAGAGUCCCCGAGCCAACAAGGCAAAACUCUGUCGUUCUGUCCCUGAACAAGGCAGUUAACCCAUUGUUCCUAGACCGCCAUUGAAAAUAAGAAUGUGUUCUUAACUGACUUACCUAGUUAAAUAAAAUAAAAUAAAAUUAACAAUCAUUGCAGAUUGUCCCCACUCCUUUUUCUCAGGAUGAAUCCCCAGUUUAUCACCCAGACACUGGCAGGUGUGAUGAAGGGAGGUAGUGGGCCAAAAUGGGCUUAGUAUUGAAAUUGAUGGUGACACCCAGUCUGUAAAACUGGUUGAAAUGAAGCCAAUCCAGUUUUCCAUUCAGUAUGACGUUGUUUUAACUAGUUUAGCUCUCUGGGUAUGCAUGCAUAUGCUAAUU